AACGAACGCUGGCGGCAUGCCUAACACAUGCAAGUCGAACGAGACCUUCGGGUCUAGUGGCGCACGGGUGCGUAACGCGUGGGAACCUGCCCUUAGGUUCGGAAUAACUCCCCGAAAGGGGUGCUAAUACCGGAUAAUGUCUUCGGACCAAAGAUUUAUCGCCUUUGGAUGGGCCCGCGUUGGAUUAGCUAGUUGGUAGGGUAAAAGCCUACCAAGGCGACGAUCCAUAGCUGGUCUGAGAGGAUGAUCAGCCACACUGGGACUGAGACACGGCCCAGACUCCUACGGGAGGAAGCAGUGGGGAAUAUUGGACAAUGGGCGAAAGACUGAUCCAGCAAUGCCGCGUGAGUGAUGGAGGCCUUAGGGUUGUAAAGCUCUUUUACCCGGGAUGAUAAUGACAGUACCGGGAGAAUAAGCUCCGGCUAACUCCGUG
rnacentral:rRNA from 1 species